rnacentral:rRNA from 1 species
UUUAUUGGAGAGUUUGAUCCUGGCUCAGGAUGAACGCUGGCGGCGUGCCUAAUACAUGCAAGUCGAGCGAAUGGAUUGAGAGCUUGCUCUCAAGAAGUUAGCGGCGGACGGGUGAGUAACACGUGGGUAACCUGCCCAUAAGACUGGGAUAACUCCGGGAAACCGGGGCUAAUACCGGAUAACAUUUUGAACUGCAUGGUUCGAAAUUGAAAGGCGGCUUCGGCUGUCACUUAUGGAUGGACCCGCGUCGCAUUAGCUAGUUGGUGAGGUAACGGCUCACCAAGGCAACGAUGCGUAGCCGACCUGAGAGGGUGAUCGGCCACACUGGGACUGAGACACGGCCCAG